GCCAGCAUGGUGUAAUUGUUUGAGUACUGGACUAUGACUCUGGAGACCAGGGUUCGAUUCCCAGCUCAGUCA